GUGCCAGCAGCCGCGGUAAUACGUAGGGGGCAAGCGUUGUCCGGAAUCAUUGGGCGUAAAGGGCGCGUAGGCGGCUAUAUAAGUCUGAUGUGAAAGUGCGGAGCUUAACUCCGUAAAGCAUUGGAAACUGUAUGGCUUGAGGACAGGAGAGGAAAGUGGAAUUCCUAGUGUAGCGGUGAAAUGCGUAGAUAUUAGGAGGAACACCAGUGGCGAAGGCGACUUUCUGGACUGUAACUGACGCUGAGGCGCGAAAGCGUGGGGAGCGAACAGGAUUAGAUACCCUGGUAGUCCACGCCGUAAACGAUGAAUGCUAGGUGUAGAGGGUAUCGACCCCUUCUGUGCCGCAGUUAACACAAUAAGCAUUCCGCCUGGGGAGUACGGCCGCAAGGUUGAA
rnacentral:rRNA from 1 species